rnacentral:lncRNA from 1 species
CACCCCAUUUGGCCAAUGGUGGGGCUUCGUAGCCAUGCAUUUGCACCUCCCUUGAAGACAAGUUGGACACUGGAGAGUAAGUCCUUUUCCUGCUGAAGACUAUUCCUAUUGUGAGGCUAUCUGAGUGGAUUUGCAUAUGAAAGUGACAGGCGCUCUGGUAUUUGAUAUUUGUGCUUGGCGGGAGGGAGGGACAGAACGGGUCUUUGUGUAUUUAUGGAAAAUAAACUGCUAAAGGGUGACAAGCAGUGUUGGAACUGAAGGGGCAAGAUGAAGGGGGAGACACCAAAGGAGGGAGAGAGUGAGAUGGAAAUCUGGCAGCUUUUGACAGGUACAUGGAAGGCCAAUGCCACAAUUUUCCUGCUGACUCCCUGCUUUGCCUUCAAGUGCCACCCCUCUCCCUUGUCCCCAGCAAUGGAGCAGUUAGAGAAGGUCACCGCUAAAACAUUGGUAAGGGUAAGCAUGGUAGAGGCCGAAGAGGGAGAGAGGAGGAUCUUUGCGUUAUAUGUUGCCUGACCUCAACCAACAUCUAGUCUUGAAAACUAACGGUGACUUGAAGGAAAAGCUGUUUUCACAUACCUAUUACAUUACUGAAACAUGAGCUGAAAUAUAAAAUAGACCCCAGUUCUUUGCGCACUUCAAAGUUAAAUCUACAAAUCAAUGGGACUCAGUUCAAAGAAAACAUGUUUAUGAGUAGAGUGUUAAUCUGGGAUGGAUCACUACUCCUUGUUCAGACUUCUUGCCUGUCUGCCAUGCCCCGUCUGGAAGAGUAUAGACACGUUACAUUUGUGGAAUACAACUCUCAAAAUCCCCUAGCCAUCAGGACCAGAUAGGGGAUACUGGGAGUUGUUUUUAAAAUAUUUUCCCUCCCAAGAAGUUCUUCUGAGUUUAUUGAAGAAUGAGGUAGUACUCAGAUAUGGCUUGUGACUCAAAACCCAUCCACCCUCUCUUUUUUUUCCCUGGGGAGGAAACUUGUUUUUAAUAGGGACUUAAACUUGAGGGUUGGGACUCAGAACCAAAGACUGAGACUCGGAGACUUGGAGACUUUGUACCAAAGACUUACCAACAUCCCCACUCACAACAAUCCUUGAAGGUAUGUCAAUCUGAGAAGGAGUGUGACGGGUUCAAGGUCACCUGGGCAGUUUAACGAAGCUUUGAAAUAUCUUUGACAAAGCAAGUGGUAGGAUGCUGCCUUUAAACCAGGAACACCAAAUGCCUUUGCCCCCAAUCAGGAUAACAUCAGUCUGCAUAGCCCUGCUGUUAUCAGCAGAAGACAGGUAUGUCAACAUCAGAGACAGGCUUGAUUUA